GGAGUUUCCGAAGCAACUGGGUCUGAAUAUAGUGCCCAGUCAUUAUGUAUUUCUUCGACAUGUUGGCAGGAACUUCACGCAGGUUAAAGAGCACCAAGAGAAAGAGCUAAAAGUUAAAAACUACUUGCCGCCAUUUACAUCAGAUCCAGAAAUUUUCAUAAAAGAAAGCCAGAACGCAAUAAACUCUGGGUGGUCACAGGAACAGGACAGUGGAGUGGAUAUUCAUGGACAAUCUGAGUGGUCACAGGAACAGGACAGUGGAGUGGACAUUCAUGGACAACGGUCAUCUCAAGAUGAAACUUCUCCAUCUGACAGCAGCCCUUACAACUUCAGUAGAGGUCUACAGUCUCUAAUAACAAACAAUUUAAAAUCAUCGGAAGGAGAGAGCAGAGUAACUACUCAGGUUUCAAGGGAUGAUAGAGUUUCCAGGCUAAACCACGAG